UACGUAGGUGGCAAGCGUUAUCCGGAUUUACUGGGUGUAAAGGGCGUGUAGGCGGUUUUGCAAGUCAGAUGUGAAAUCUCCCGGCUUAACCCGGAAACUGCAUCUGAAACUGCAGAACUUGAGUACUGGAGAGGAUAGUGGAAUUCCUAGUGUAGCGGUAAAAUGCGUAGAUAUUAGGAGGAACACCAGUGGCGAAGGCGACUAUCUGGACAGUAACUGACGCUGAGGCGCGAAAGCGUGGGGAGCAAACAGGAUUAGAUACCCUGGUA
rnacentral:rRNA from 1 species